GAUCCACAGGCUUCUUAGAAGAAUGAACCGAGGUGUUUACCACAAUUAUUUUUCUAGUCUGAUCAGUUUAAAUAAACAGUAGCUGCUCUCAAGUUGAAAAAAAAGAAAGUUAGACUGCUGCCAGUCAGAGUGGAAGCAGGCAGACUGAUGAGGAGUGUGGCCAGACUCUGCAGGGGAUGUGCUGUGGGCCUGGGUUAGUGUGAGCCACCGCGCCUGGCCUCUUGAGCUUACUUUGGACACACCAAGGUUAAAGUAGUAUUAGAUACUCAAGUGGAGAUGCCAAGUAGACAGUUUUAAGAUGGUGUAAGAGUCUGGAAUUCAUGUGAGAAACCUGGGUUGGAGAUACCUAGUUGUGAGUGUGUGGCAAGUGUAAGUAAAGCUGGGAAACCAGAAGAGAUUACCAGUGGAGUAUAGGGAAGAGAAGAGAAAAAGUUCAAGGACGAAGUCCAGGGACGUUAAAAAGUCUGAGACAACAGUCAGCAACAAAAGCUGAUAAGAGAUCAGCAAAAAAGGAGGAAAACCAAGAAAUCAUAGACUAUAUUAUAUGGCAUCCUGGAAGCCAGAUGAGAAAAACGUAUUCAAGCAGGAGGGGUAGAUGAAGUGUGUCAAAAAUCUGCUAAAAAUCAGCUUAGGACUGAGAACUGAUCAUUGGAUUUAGCAAUGUGGACAGAUGAUCUUGGCAAGAUUAGUUUCAGGGCAGGGUUUGUUUCAUCAUUCUUAUUGGAGUGGGUUUAAGAGAGAAUGAAAGGAGAAUUUGAGAGAGUGAGUAUAGCACCUUUUUGAGGAUAUUUGCUGUAAAGGAGAAUAGAGAAAUAGGUUUGGAGC
rnacentral:lncRNA from 10 species